UACGUAGGGGGCAAGCGUUGUCCGGAAUCAUUGGGCGUAAAGCGCGCGCAGGCGGCCCGGUAAGUCCGUUGUGAAAGUCAAAGGCUCAACCUUUGAAUGCCGACGGAUACUGCCGGGCUAGAGUCCGGAAGAGGCGAGUGGAAUUCCUGGUGUAGCGGUGGAAUGCGCAGAUAUCAGGAGGAACACCUAUAGCGAAGGCAGCUCGCUGGGACGGUACUGACGCUGAGGCGCGAAAGCGUGGGGAGCGAACAGG
rnacentral:rRNA from 1 species